rnacentral:rRNA from 1 species
AACGAAAGAUGGCGGCAUGCCUAACACAUGCAAGUCGAACGGGAUCCUAGCUUGCUAGGUGAGAGUGGCGGACGGGUGAGUAACACGCGGGAAUAUGUCCUUUGGUCCGGGAUAAACGCGGGAAACUGCGGCGAAUACCGGACGCCCUCGCGAGAGGAGAGAUCUAUCGCCCGGCUAGGAGCGCGCGUCCGAUUAGGUAGUUAGUGAGGUAAAGGCCUACCUAGCCGACGAUCGGUAGCUGGUGUGAGUGGCUGAACAGCCACACUGGGACGUAGAUACUGCCCAGACUCCUACGGGAGGCAGCAGUGGUGAAUAUUGGAUAAUGGAGGCAACGCUGAUCCAUCAAUUCCGCGUGAGUGAUGAAGGCCUUUGGGUUGUAAAGCUCUUUUGCCAGGGUAGAUGAUUACUGUUCCUGGAGAGUAAGCCCCGGCUAACUUCGUGCCAGCCGCCGCUGUAA